GUGGAUUAGAUACCCUGGUAGUCCACGCUGUAAACGAUGACGACUAGGUGUGGGGGGGUUCAGUCCCUUCCGUGCCGCAGCUAACGCAUUAAGUCGUCCGCCUGGGGAGUACGGCCGCAAGGUUGAAACUCAAAGGAAUUGACGGGGGCCCGCACAAGCGGUGGAGCAUGUGGUUCAAUUCGAUGCAGAGCGAAGAACCUUACCUGGGCUUGACAUGCAGGAAGUAGGAACCGGAAACGGGGACGACCUGUUAAGUCAGGAACCUGCACAGGUGGUGCACGGCCGUCGCCAACU
rnacentral:rRNA from 1 species